GCCCCUGUAGCUCAAAAAGGAUAGAGCAGGGCACUCCUAAGGCCUUGGUUGGGGGUUCGAGUCCCUCCAGGGGCA
rnacentral:tRNA from 1 species